AAACUGCAAAGAGGGAAGAGACAGAGCCUCAGCCAGCGCCUUUCGGUACAUCACGCCUAUGAGGGGUAAGCAAAUGACAGCACGGCACAGCUCAGCUUUAGUCGGCAUAGACCAAAACCACUGAUUUGUACACUCUGAAGGUACACAUACUGAAUUAGUGAAGUAGUGAAUGCUAUGGUUUGUAAUUACAUCUCAAUAAGAGGUUAAAAACAUAAGAAAGGAGAAAGAAACUGCUUGAGACUGGAAACCAGCAAGCAGCCAACACAUCUCAGCAGAGCAGCUGUGACAGAAGAGUGGCCAACAGUGGCCAAUAGUUGGGUUGCAGAGUGAUUUUUCCACCUGAGCUCUUUUCCUCUGUGGGUGCAUCAGUGGUCACAGGACAGCACCCUAUGGGGGAUGCAGUCUUCCCACACUGGCCCUGGGAAGCCCAGUGCUAAUGCUCCUUCCCACCGCUGACCACUGAUAGGAGCUGAGUGUGUCAGUCAGCUCCAUGUGGCAGUCAGCAGCCUGCUUCCCAACCAGCUCUGCUACCGCCAGCCUGCGACCUCCAGUCACAGAGGCCACCUCACAGGCUGCGUGUGAGUCAACUGUGAGGGACAUGUGGGAACGAGGCAAUGCAGUCACUCUGAUUAGUUUGUUGGUGGUAGUUGUUAUGAGUGGCUCACCUACUGCUCUGAAAUUACUCCUUUGUGGCAUUUACAGACCUGUGUAUGGUCUUCCCAAGUCACUGUAAGUAGUGAAUUCAGGCCAGAAGUUACCCCCUUGACUUUUUGAGAUGACCACAUUUUGUGCAGAGCUGUAUACAAACAAUGGGUCCCACAAAGCUUCCUCGGGAGAGAGGAAGAAUACCUUGCAUAUCUGGGGCCGAGCUGAGGCAGAAAGACCAAGCCACCAACCCACAGGUCUCAGUGCCUGUGAGCCAGUGCUAAGUCCUAGUGAUGAAGGAGUCCACAGAUGCACACAGACUUCAUGGCUCAGGAACAACCCAGGAACUGUUGACAAUGUCAUCUCUGUUACUUCUCCUUCCCAGCACUGGCAGUGCUGAUGGCCCCAGUGGCAUCUAACUACUCGUACGUGAUAUGUUGACCUGCAAGGUGACUGUGGUUGCUGAGAACUGGAGGAUGUCUGAAGGGGCUGAGAAAUGGGCUGUGCCAAAUCUAAGUCAGGCACCUUCACCAGGCCCCAGCUGCUGUGUGGUCUUGGAUGAUGCCAGCAGUAACCUACUCUAAACAGCUUGAGUUUCACUUGAGAUUUCAAGGGUCCAUUUGUGCUUUUAAACAGGUUUGUUUAGAAAGAGGGUGAAGUGCUAGGGAAGUGCUCUACCACUGAGCCACAACCCCAGCCCUAAAAAAGUGUGAAUGGAAAUGUCAGGUUCCCCAUGAAGCAGACAAACCUCAGGAGCCUGGGUGAGUUCUGUGGCACCUUUCCGUUCAGGUUGCCCAGGAUCUCAAAGCCGUGGCAUGACUCAGACAGGGUCAUUUUCGGGGUCCAUGAGAGCAGCAGCAUGACAUGGAGGGAUGAGGACUAGAACUGCGCCAGCGCAGAACAGCUACUGGCCCACUCCGAUGUUGUAAGUGCUCAUUAUGUGCCAGUUACCAACUGAGCACUUUCUGGGUCUUCUUGCUUUCCUCUUUCUAACAGCAAGACUUAGGAUUUUUUUCCCUUUUCAGGGACCCACAUGUGAGUCUUGGGCCUCCUAGUAAUUCAUGAUACGAGUCGGGCAAAUUGUUCAGCUUCUUUGGGCCUUAGUUUCCUUACCUGUGAUGAGGACAAUUGCCCAAAUCUUCCUGGAUACCUGGGCCUGGACUGGCUUGAGAAUCUCUUGAGCUACACCUAGAAGAGCUUCACCCACCACCCAGCAGCCCUGGGACUACCAUCAUGUAUUGCCAUGGAUGAUGCCAGCAGUAACCUACUCUAAACAGCUUGAGUUAAUAGCCUGAAACACAUUGUCCUGGGUUCCAACUGUGACUCUUCCUAGCGGUGAGAUGGAGGGCAGGGCACAGCUCUGACCCUAACAUGCCACCCUGAAACUGGAAAAGUAGUCGGGAAGCCCCACAGAAGAUGCACCUGUGAAAGGCAGAUAAAGCUUCUCAUUUCCCUGAUGACAGGGAGCACUCAAUGGUGCUGGCAGCCUCUUUCCUCAACCCGCUUUGGGCCAAUUCAAGGGCAGGUCCUUUAUAGACACCACAGGGCCUCGAUUAGUUGUGAAUUUGUAACAAAUACAGUCCCGAAAAAAUGUGAAUGGACCUUUAUUUUAUGCAUUUAUAGGUGGUGCUGAGAAUCGAACCCAGUGCCUCACACAUGCUAGGGAAGUGCUCUACUACUGAGCCACAACCCCAGCCCUAAAAAAGUGUGAAUGGAAAUCCUUAACAUUAAAAGACAUGAAAAAGGGAUUUUUUUUUUAAAGAAUAGGUAACUAUUUCAAAAUGGCUAGUGGAUAGCUGGGAAAGAAAAAGGGAAGGGAAGGAUGCCAAAAGUUGCACCAAGCCUAAGCUCAGCACCAAGCUAAGGACUUCACUUGAACUCUCAUUAGUCCCGGACUAGUGCUAUGCAGGGAAGAACAAUGUUUAUACAGAUAAUGUCCACACAGGCCACAAAGAGAUAAUUAUCCCCCUGUUUCAAAGAGUUUUAGCGACCUGGCAGAGCUCCAGCCAGAAAACGGUAUUACCUUCCUAACUCUAUAGAGCUCUCUGAUGGGCAUCUGCUAGGCCUGUCCAAGGUGCUGUGACUUAAUAUGGAAACCUUAUCACAAUCAGUGAAGAUUCAAAAACAAAACAAGCCAGGCCUUGUGGCACACACAUGUAACCCCAGCAACUGCAGAGGCUGAGGCAGGAGGAUAGCAAGUUCAAGACCAAUCUUAGCAAUUUAGUGAGACCCUCAGCAUCUUAGCAAUACCCUGUGUCAAAAUAAAAAAAGGACUGGGGAUGUAUCUCAGUGGUAAAGUACCCAUUCAAUCCUAGCAGCAAAGAAGGAAAAACAAAAACAAAAAUCCCCCAAAUACUAAUCUUUUGAAAAAGUCCAAAAGCCCAUAGAAAAACUAUACCUUAAUUUGAUCAAUGCUGUCACCAGACAACUCUUGAAUAUGCUUGAGACUGUAUGUAAGGCCGGAGGGACUGAAGAACGUGAUGCUGGCUGGGACACCCUGGGGGAAGAGGAAACAAGACCCAUCCUUUGCCAGGAGACUGAGGGGAGACGAUGCCCCUGCCCCGGCUCCAUCAGCACUAACACCCCAAGCACAGGCAUCCAGCAGCUUCAACCAGGAGUAGUUCACAGUUUUGUUGUGAUUUUUCUGCCCCACAGAGGCAGAAUUCUGGUAAGGAACUGUUCAAAGAGCAGGCCGUGAUCAGACAGGUGGGUGAACAGGGCCCCUUGGUUGUUCUGCUGGCCCUCAGGGCUGUGUCUGGCCAGAGAACACGGGCAUCACAGAGCCCACAGGCCCAGCAGUCUGGACAAUGCCCCUAGUGCCUGUGGUCCAAUGGCACUGAGUCAGGCUGACUCACUGUCACCUCUACCUCUCCUCUAGUUGGAGCAGACAGCCUGCAUGGUCUCUGAUUUGGUUUGUCCUGUCAGGACCCCCAGAAUCAGGCAAGGCAUCAGGAAGCCUGUCCCAGGAGAGCAGAGGUGUCUUCUGAAUACAAAUGGUAAAGACAUCAAUCAACUCAGUCUGAGCUGUCCACUCUCCUGCCCUCGGCCUCCCAAAAUCAGUACAGACACGACAGAGGGCUCCUCCCAGCAUGGGCUCAGCCUCUGCCCCCACGUGAUGGAAAUCAAUGGCAUCAUCAAGGCCACUAUGCACCUCAGGCUUGCAUAUACCUUGAAUGCUGUACAAAGAGGUUUGCUUAAGUAGCUCCUUAUUAAUUAUCUCCUUAUUAAUCCUUCCACAAAUUUACUAGAUAAGUCUAUUCCUUUCACAGACCAAAAUGGAGUCUUGGAAAGGCCACUUCCUCAAAGUCACUUAUCUGGGAACACUGCAACAAUGUAGACAAUCAGCAUCUACAAGUUCAUGCCACUCAGCCUGUACUCUCACCAUAGGGGCGGGUUGGGGGGCUGUCCUGCCAGGUGUCUCCCUGGAAAUACCACAUACCUGCUUGGAAUAGUAGCUGUCCAGGUUCACUUGGAUUCCUGGGUGUGGAAUCGUCUGAUAGACAGUUAUGCUUUCCAUCUGAAUUCCUAGGCACAAUCAAAACAAGCAAACAGGAGAUGGGGUUUUGGCUCAGUGGUACAGUGCUUGCCUUGCAUGUGUGAGGCCAUGGGUUCGAUCCUCAACAACACAAACAAACAAACAAAUAAAUAAAUAAAUGAUAUCAUGUCCAUCUACAGCUAAAAAAUUAUUUAAAAAAAAAACACACAAGGAAACAGACUUUACUGCCCUAGGAACACGGUGGAACCUCUACCACCCAGUGUGCAGUUGGUAGGGAUCUCCCAGUGCAGCACAGUCCUCCUGGAACAAAGAGCUCAGAAUCUGAGAGGCAGAACUGAGGGCAAGAGGACCAGCUAGUCCUCUGAAGCCUGCUGAACACUGAGGAGCAGCCCCCACAAUGGAGGAGGCCGAGAAAGGAUAAAGACCCAAAAACUACAGCCUUUGUACACACAGGUGCUUUUGCUCCCAUGUUUGUGUAAGUUUGACAAUACAGGAUUGUCUCUGGCCACUCCAUGAAUUCCACACAGAUAGGAUGCUUAUGCCAGGAAACAAAGCCCAAGGACAGCUCUUGGCAGAGACUAUGAGUCAGGAGCUCCAGCUACAUCCCAGCUCUGCCUCUCCAUGACCAUGUGCACCUCCUGGUCUCAAGGUACUAUCCCCAGUGAUGUGGUCAAUGUGCUUUAGUCACCUUUGUCCUUCAGCAUUUUUGGCAGGAUUUCUCUUUUGAGGUUUCCGCAGGGAAAGAGAAGAGGAAAUGCUGGUGACUCUCCUGCAAACACAGAACCAGACUUUAAAAAACUUUGUAAAAAUUCAGGGGGCAGGCCUGUGCACAGGGCCUGGGGAGGGCAGCUCCUGGGAGGAUGAAGGUGUCCAGGUCUCCAGGACCAGCUCUGCUUCUGGAUCUCAGUUCUGGCAUCUGUAAGUGGGAAGAGCAACUGCUACCUUGCUGACCUUGAAGACGAUUAUAUGAAGAUAAUGAGAGGUAUGUGGUGAAGGUGCUUAGAAAACCAACAUCCUCAGGAAAAAAAGGUGCUAUUCUACAUACUUCCUGCUCCCGCUGGUCCUGAAGUGGCUCCUGGCCUGUUGGCACUGUUUAGAAAACAAGUUUGCAAUUUACCUUAGUCAGAAAGGUAAGGAUCAGUGGUGUUGGCAUUGAGAUGAUUUUCCACUUCUAGAGGAGGCCUUGGAUGGGUCAGGGCUCACACUUAGGAGUCAGCAGGGAACCGGCAGUCAGGGUGCUGUAGCCACUUCCAACAAAGAUAGGCUUCCUGUCCACUGCUCUCCUAGCUAUGCCAGCAGCCAUAAGACCACAUGCCCAAAGGGCUUAGAGACAAGAUGCUCAGAAGGAUCCUGCUUCUCACCACGCCCCUCCACCCCAUCUCUAUUUUGCAAAGACUGAGGACGUUUUUGGCUCUAAAAUUGUUGCAGAAUAGCAAUGACAGCAGGCAAUCUGAAUGCUGACCUGCAACAUUACUAUUCAACAAUACUAACGGGCUAUAGACACCAGAAUCUUCCCCAAAUAUGAAAAAAAAAAGGCCUUUUGGUAGAAUCAACUGUUUCCCCCCACAUCUGUCUACCAGAUGCAAGAAAUUUUAAUGCGUGUUGGUCAUUAACAGACAUUGCAUAUUUUUUCUAUAUCCUUAGGGUCUCCCUGAACACGUUUUUUGGUGAAUAGAGCAAAAUAAGCUCUCCCCACCCAGCAGCAUCUCCAUGAAGCAGCAGCUAAGCAACUAGAACAUGUAUGUUACUCUAAGUCAGUAUGUAUAACAGCUUCCUACUGCUGGAUGUUUUCUUCAUCUAUAAUACUCUGUAAAUAUCAGUUCCAACAUAAAAGAAUCAGGAAAUUGUUAGGUAUUGACCACAGAUGCCUGCUAAGUUCUCUUUUCCAGUGUGAAGAAAUGAUUCCCACACAUAGAUGCCAUGUUCAGGAGCUGUUUUCUUAACCUGGGCCCAGGCAUUCCUCCCUGUCUACGUGUGGUGGGACAGCGGGUGCAGGAUGCUAGGGGUUACGGCUCUCCAUGGGGCAGCAGUGGGAAUCCAGUAGCAAAACAUGAAGUCUAACUUUCCAGCAAGCCUAGCCCCAAAGGCAUGCAAGGGACCUUCAGAAGAUUCAAGAAUCUCCCCAUUGCCAUAUUUCCUCCAAGGGCCCACUGGAGCACUGAGCUGCUCAUUCUUAUCCUCUGAUUCCUAGAUGGCUGGAAGUCCCUCCAUGGCACUCAGGAGGCUGGGCUGCAGGGAUCCCUGAGGCCUCCAAGAGAGUGCAAUCACUGGGCCCUGGAUCACAGAUAAUUGGGAUACAGAGAUCAGUUGAGGGCAUGGAAGAAGAGCCCAGCAAGCCUGCCUGGCUGCGAGGUCUUUACAAGUCCAGGAGGACAUUCCACAUGAACUGCAGUGCACCGGGAUUGAACCCAGGGUUUUUAGGCGGACACAACAUCUUUGUUUGUACGUGGUGCUGAGGAUCGAACCCGGGCCGCACGCAUGCCAGGCAAGCAGGCUACCGCUUGAGCCACAUCCCUAGCCUCCCAAGGCACUUUUCCAGAUAGCAAACUGGUGGCUACUCUGCCGAGAAUGAUGAUUGCUAUCUGUGCUCCAGAAUGUGGGACUUCUUGGAGAAAAGUGGUGUGGGCAUUCCUUUUAGGAGCACAAAAAGGCUGGCCAUUAACAAAUGAGAGCUUCAGUGUGAAUACCAUUAGCUUUUAGUUUAUGGAUGAUAGAUAAAAUCUGCUGAGUCAAAGGGGAAAAAUGCCAUGCAUAUGUAAACUGUUCAGGCUGUAGUGUAAACACAGACCCCGUCUCCCACAUGUUUGAGUCUUUUUUUUUUUAAUAUUUAUUUUUUAGUUUUAGGUGGACACAAUAUCUUUAUUUUACAUUUAUAUGGUGCUGAGGAUGGAACCCAGUGCCUCAUGCAUGCCAGGCGAGCACUCUACCAUUGAGCCACAACCCCAGCCCUGUUUGGGUCUUAAAGGGCUCAAUGCACAAAGGAAUCCUAAAAAACCCUAGGAACAGAAGAGAAACCUGAGAAUUUCCCCUAAGAUUGUAACUUAACACAGCAGAUCUGUUCCCUUGCUCUGUCACAGUGUCCUUAAGGAGCGCCAGGCAAUAAUGAAGGUUCUUUUACUGAAAGAUGCAAGGGAGGAUUAUUGUUGUACUGGAGAUUGAACCCGGGGCUUGUGCAUACUAGUCAAGCACUCUACCACUGAGUUACAUCCUCAUCACUUUAUAAAAAUUUUGGGACAGGGUGCCACUACGUUGCCUAGACUGACCUUUAACCUGGGAGCCUCCUGCCUUGGCCUCCCAGGUAACUGGGAUUACAAACAUGUGCCACCAUGCCUUGCUAUUGUUAACCAUUACUGUCUAAUUUAUAAAUUAAAUUUCAUUAUAGGUAUGUACAUAUAGGAAAAAAUAUAACCUAUGUAGGGUGGGUACUAUCUGAGUUUUCAGGCUUCUAUUGGUGGUGGUGGAUCAUAUUCCUGUGGUGCAGGGGACUAUUGUAUUGACAUCAAUAUACAUUUUUCCCUUAAGUACUAAGACAAUGGGAACCAUGCCUAGAAUACUAAUGCACAUAUACUUUGCUGUCUAUAAAGUCAGCACUUGCUCAUUUGAUUCCUACUCAACACUGUGAACAAGACAAUUACUCCUGUACCUGAGAGAGGAGGAAGCUGGGGGUCUGAGAAGUUAGUGGCUCUAGCUUUGUCUGCAAGGCCAAGGACUGGGAAUAUUUAGUCUGUCCUGAAGCCUACAAAGACUCUCAAAUAAUGUUCGGAGAAUGUGUGUUUGGUCUAGGGCCUCAGCCCUGGGUGUAGAAAGGCUGGAUCUGCUCCAACUCAGUUCAAGUGCUUCAACCAACACUUGGGCCUGAACAAGUCCAUCUGAAGGGCCUUCCCCAGUCAAUGGCUGACAGAGAAACUGCAGAUUAUCUAAAGUUGCAUUAAAUAAAUAAUAAAUCCCACCAAUCAUGGACGAACCUGAUGUAGAAUAUUUUAACAAUUGAGACAUUAGGAUAUUGCCACAAUGGAUCAAAGUUUUUAGACUCGUGUAAACCUGUGGAGUGAAAUCUGCCAGUUGAUGCCUAUACUGAAAAAGUGCCAUUUGGAAAAUCAGAAGGUAAAAUGAAAUCCUUGGUGAAAAAUCGAAAUUGAUCAAGAAAUGAUAUUUGAAGAUAUUAACAAGGUUAUGGGUAAGACAGUUAAAAAUCUUUUCAACAUUUAUGAGAAACCAUGGAAAUGUAAAUUAUAUCUAUAGAAAGAUAAUGGCUUAAAGUGGUAAAACAUCUGUAUGCUGAUGCAGUGGGGUAUGGUGCUUUUGGAAAAAUUUUGUCACAGAUCAAACUGGUCAGCCAAUGACUGUCUUUGUUUGUGACCCUGGCAAAUAACAUCCUCCUCCUUAGGCUCAGUUGUUUCAUUUUAUUUAAAUUUAUUAAAGAAUUUCUUUUGAGAAACCAUGGCAUGGUUCCUGGUGGAUAACAGAAACUCCAAACAGUAGGUGUCAUGAAUGAUAUUAAUAACUGUAGAUGUGUUCAAAAAGUGUAAAUAUAUAUGUUUUUCUGAGUUCUGAAUUGUUAUUGCAAAGUUGUCGCCCAGGAGGUCACUGGUCUGGGUUUAUAAAACCAAGCAGCAGUGGCCACAUGUAGCUCUCAGGUACCAACCCUGCAGUCAGAAGAGGGUGGUGGGCACCCUACCUUUGGGCAGCCAGAUGGAAGGUGUUCCUUGGGAUAGGGGCUGAGUUACAGUGUAUCAGCCCACAAGCCAACUAACCCUGAUUCUUUAAAAAACCCACAAACUUAAGAUAAAUAAAUUAUUAAAACCUCUUCUCAGGAUAUUUUAUGCAGACCAAAUGCAAAGUUACACAGCAUAUAUUUUCCCUCAAGCAAUUACAUCUGCAAAUUUGAAGUUAAGUUGUAACAUUUGUGAAGAAAUAUUGACAUCUUCUCUCCCUGGAUUUCAACACUGAGAAGGGCUGCACUGGAUCAUGCACUUGACCAGUCACUCAGCUGUUCUAGGUCUCAAGACAAUUUGCUCAUUUUCAUUUCAUUUGACAGAAUGGAAGAGCAAAAUGCAUACUGAUGCUGCUAAAGUCAAACUGAAGGAUACGUGAUAGCUCAAAAUCUUUAUCAGCUAAUGUGCAGAAAUCUGACUUUAGAGUAUAAAAAUCCAAGUUGGAAAAAUUAUAACUAUAAUGUGUAUGGAAUAGUUGAGUUUGGGGUAGAUGAAUUAGUCAGAUUUUCAUCACUGUGACCCAAACACCUAAACCACUUAGAGGAAGAAAGAUUUAUUUUGACUCAUGGUUUCAGAAGUUUCAGCCCAUGGACUUAAGGUGAGGCAGAGCUUCAUGGUGGAAGAGUGUGGUGGAGGAAAAGCUGCUCGGUUCAUGUCAGCCUGAAAGCAGAGAGAAAGGGGAUGGGAAAAGAUAUAGGCCCCAAGGAACCACUCCCUCCAACUAGGUUCCACCACCUCUCAAUAGUCUACGCAGAUUAUUAAUUCUUCAGCGGACUAAUCCACUGCUGAAGUCACAACCCUCAAGAUGCAAUUGCUUCCCCAAAGCCCCACCUCUCAACACUGUUGCACUGGGGACCCAAGUCUUCAUCAUAUAAGCCUUUGGGGGACAUCCAGAAACCAUAAGAGGACACAAGUCAGAAAUUGCCUGUAUUAUUUUCUUUCCUCUUCUCAUUAAAAAAAAAAAACAAAACAGUAAAGUAAAAGCAAUUUCUUAUUUUGGAGAACUGACAUGGAGAGUGGAGGUGGUUCCUUUGGCAACUAAGCACUGAGUCCCUCACCUGGUUGACUUGCUGAGCUUGUGGCAAGUUAUCAGCACACAAGAUCCAGGAGUUAUCUCUAAUUAGUCUAACAACUUUCAACCCAUUUCGUCCCUAAUCUCAUUUUGUUCUCUGGAAAAUGUACUAAUUUCAUUCAUACCACAAUAUUUCCUCCAAUAUUUUUAAACUCAUUUGGACAAAUGAACUAUUUUGAAACUAAGUUAUAGGUUAAUUUAUUUGUUUCUGGUCAGCAUUGUUCUAAAUAUUUAAAGUGUUAUAAUAUUAACUCUCAACAAUUCACUCUAUGUGUGUUAGAGAACUAAUAAACCACUACAUGGAGAUUACUAUUUUAGCCAUUUCUUCAAAGAAUAAUUCAUUGGCAUUGAGUACAUUCACAAUGGAAUUCAUGGGUCAAAGUUUACGAAUAUUUAAAUAAAACUUUUGAAUAUGUACUGAUCAAGAAUUUCUUAAAAGAUGUACCAGUUUUUAAUGUCACUUAGAAAUGUUUUAAUAUAUUUAUUUCACUGCACCCUAUCAGUAGCAUUAAAUAUUUAACUAAUUAAUAACUUUCUGCAAUUUUGUAAAUAAAAACAUUUAAAAACUGAAUUGAUGUAUUUUAC